rnacentral:lncRNA from 1 species
GGUUAUAUAUUUGGGGAGGGCACCAGAAGACGCGUAUAGAACAUUAAUCUUCGGGGAUACAGCCUAUAUUCCUUUCAGAGAUGCUGCCUAUGGAAGCUGCAGUUUCUACAUUACACUUCUCGACUGUUUUCAUGCAGUAAAAAAGGCAAUCCAGUAUGGCUUCCUUAAUUUCAACUCAUUUAACCUCGAUGAAUAUGAACACUAUGAAAAAGCAGAAAAUGGAGAUUUCAACUGGAUAAUACCAGAGCGGUUUCUUGCCUUCUGUGGGCCACACUCAAGAUCCAGGCUGGAAAGUGUUAUAACCACAUUGGUAUUCAGUCCCCAAUCCAGACAUUGUUUCCACCCACUUUCAGGUGAAACCGCUUUCCGUUGUGUUCUUCCUGCGUCUUACGAGCUGUGGUGCAUUUCUUUAUGUAGGUUACCACCAACAUUCUCCUGAGACUUAUAUUCCAUAUUUUAAGAAUCACAAUGUAACUACCAUUAUCCGUCUGAAUAAAAGGAUGUAUGAUGCU